CCGCGGGGACGACCCCGCGACGCUAUCGCGUACACAUCAGGGGACGACCCCG
rnacentral:ncRNA from 1 species